GACUGUGUCAGCCUUAAAUAGAUUCCUAAGUCUUUCCUCCAUGCUUUACUGUCCUUUUCCAGGUGGUUGCAGUGAACACCUGCACAGGGAUGUGACUCCUCUGUGUGUGUCUGUCUCCAUGGAGAUGGUCUCCCCCUACUCUGAAGAGCCUGUUUGUUUUGGCAGUCAGUAGGCUUGCUGGUUUACCCUGUGCCCACAAGCAGAGUGGGCAGUUGUUUAAAAAUCCACUAGGGCUCGACACUCCAACGAUUGCCAGGAAGCCUGGGAAGAACUGUGCAAAAUCAAUUCCUUUUCCUAGACAAUAGCAACUAAAAGGCUGCCCCUCCCAAAGAAGCCUGCUGUGACAAAACACAAUUCCACUAACCCUAACCUCUCCAUUUUACUGCGUAUGGAGGCUAGCAGCCGAACAGCUCUGCCAGUGUGUGUGUCGGGAGGCACUCAGUUCUGUCUCCUCAACUGCCUGCUAGACAAUCAGCUCAUGUUACAUAGGCCACCAACUAAAAUACAGGCAUGAGCAUGUUCACUAGAGGGUGCUCUGAUCCCAGAGUUGGGCAAGAGGGAGCAUUCAUACCCAUGUCACAAAGGACCUGGCAUCUACUAAUCUCUCAAUGAAGUCAUUGCUCCACCUCAAGUGCCACACAUGGCAGGGUUGUCCUGUGUUGGAUUCAAUGGCAUUGCAGUUUUCCACUGGGCAGUACUAUGCUCCUACUUGCAGUGUUCAAACAUGAACCAAGACAAUAUCACAUUGUCUGUUGCAUCACAAUAGCGCGGUUGUUAGCUACCUAGAGCCCUGGCGCUGCAGGAUGCUUCACAGGCUGACAAUGCUGUGCCGCCAGGUUUCUCUGAAAAACAACCACCCUACAUCAAAUGUUCCUUUUCUCUCUGCACCUCUCCCUCACUACUGCGUAAGCCUCUAGCUUUUCUGUUUUUUUCUAGUUCUAGAUAGAUUUUGACAGAAUCUAUUGACACAGUCAAAGGCUCCUAAUUCCUCUUGUCUGUUCUGCUAGACCAGGCUUUCUCGAUUUUCUCUAUGUAUACAGCACCCAUCACUAAUGUCUCACUGCUUUCAGUUCUACCUCUCUUGUUGAGAAAUAGCAUGACAACAGGGCAUAUUUAUGUAGGUCCUACAUAAAACAAGGUUCUUGCUGGUUGAUGAAUUGUAGCUGUUAAACCAAACAGCCCUCCCUCCUGUGCCAAGGGGAUUGUGUUAGAAAAUGGGGCUUUGAUCAUGGAUACAGCCUUAUCGAGUUUUUUGAGGGGGAGGGUGAGUUCAAGUUGUGCCAUAGGAACCCAAACCCCUGGCGCACCCCCCCCCCGGCAGGUCUAGUUAGGUCCAAACCAUAAAGUUACUUUUCUGGAGCUGUUUAGGGUGUGCCAGAGGGCACAGGUCUUUCCCAUCUCUAUGUUCUGGAGGAGGCUUAGCCAUAAGUCCGUAUUUACGGGGUGCUGUGAGUAGGAGCAGUGCUCCCCUUUGGAGGAACAGCCACUGACUUGGGCUUGCAGGCUCAGACUGCAGGGCAAAAAUGAGCAGUGUAGACGUUCCCACUUAUGCUGGAUCCUGGGCUCUGAGACCCUCCCUCCAUGCUGGGCUUCAGCCCAAGCAGGGACAUCUACACAGCUAUUCAGAGCUUUGCAACCCUGAGUCCAGUGCCAUGGGUCCCUCUUGUAAAUUAACAUGCACAGUGUGUCCCAGCAGCAGCUCAAGCAGACUAGAGAGAGGAACCUCCAGUUCCUAAUGCUUGGGAGGUGAAACUGCUGCUGGUUCUAGUUUCGUUCAGAAAACGAUGGCAUCUGCCCCAGUGUCAGCUGUGCCCUCCCUCCCAGUCUCUGAAAUGAUCACUACUAUUCCACAGAUGAGAACUAAAAUAGAAAUUCCACUGAGUAACUUGAAACCCUGCAAAGAUAAAUGAGGCAUGGCGAGAGAGAGAAAGAACGCCGGCGGGAUGAAUGGGCUGGCCGGGGGUGGCAGAGCAGCCCAUUACCGUUCACAUGCCUUUGAGCACGAGCUCAUGCCCAUUCGGCACGCAAACAGGGUCAGAAAAAGGGAUGCUCUCGCCAGCCCUAGGCCCCAUUACAGGCUGGGAGGAAAACUACUUGCAAGCCUCUGCCUUAAUGGCCCCAACAGCGACGCUGCAGUUCAGUGGUCACAGCAGUGAGUUGGAUUCCUGGCUCAGCACUGACUCAUUACGUUGCCUUGGGCAGAUCAGAUUACCCAUCUGCAAAGUGGGGAAAUACCUCCUGCAUGUGUGUGAAGUGCUUUGAGACGGAGGGUGCUAUGGAAGGGCCAAGUAACCCUACCAAGUGUGGCCGUGAAUGACUCAGAGCUGCUGCUACCCCUCCACCCCUGCCCCAACAAAGGGAGUGACUGUCAGUAAGAACCCAGGGACAGUCCCAGAUUUCUUUGCAACUCUCUGUGCUUGGCGAGCUCCUAGAGGUGCCUCUUUUGUGAGGCAGGAAGGGAAUAAAUCACCCCUCCAAGCAACCUCAGGAAAGGGGCAAAAGAAAAAGGCAUGUGAGCACUAGACAACUGAGGAAUCUUUGCACAGACAUGGAACAGACCCAUGUAUUAAUGGCCUCUGGAGAAGGGAAAGAGAUCUGCUAGGUCCUGCAGUCCCAGCUGCCAGCCAAAGCAAGGGAAAAGAGCAAGCUUGGGAGCAUGCAACUGCCUGCCCAGCCAGCAACGUCACUAGAUUGUGCAGCAAGAACCAACAGCUUAGUCUUGGCUUUCAACCUGGUUGCUCCUUUAUAGCUGGGCCCUCCCGGAGCUCUGCUACCAUGGGCUUACGCUCAGGGGGAUGCAGAGCAGGACUGACACCUCACUCCCCUCCAAAGGUGAAUGGAAAAACCCUCUUUCCUCUUCCCCACUCACCUCCCAAGAAGUGUCAAACCCAGCAGAGGCGGAGCUGGGUUGGCUCUAGCUUCAUGGGCAAGAGCAAUUGGCAAACAAACAAAAACAAAAAAAUUCUCAUGGAAAGGGUUCUAGCAGAGGGUCUUGCAAGCAAGUCCAUGUCAGAGUCACAGACAGACAGAUGCAGCAAAGGGACAGGCCGUGGCGGCUGGGGCACACAAGUGCCAGCACAGGAGCAACUUGGGUUUGUGUUGGGCACCUCGAAGUUUCAAAAUUGUUUCACACCAGGAUCACGUGUUCUUGAGGUCGGGGAGGAGAAGGCACAGGAACUGUUUGGUUUCGUAUAAGCUCUUUCAUUCCUCAGAGCGCCUCACAGAGCACAGGCACCCAACACAACGCAAUGCAACCACCUUAAGAGCAGAGGGCAGCAGCCAACUGGCACACAGCCCAACAGGAGUAAGGGAAACAUAGGCCAAAGACACCAGGGCAAGGCCUCACCCUUAGGAAACUGCGAGAGGAUCGUUCAUGUAUACGUAAAGCAGACACCACACUCUGGGUUUCAAGGCCUCAACCAAAAGAUCCACUGCAGAGAACUGUCUGGGCUGUUAAUCUACCUCAGAAGGGCCACGUCAACCCUGCUGUGGCUCUGGGGAGCCUCGUCAUUUGACGCUUGGAGCAUGGAGCCCUCUCCUCCAGCAUGACUGAGACAGAACAGCAUCGCUGGUCUCUAGCAGAGGGACCUUAGGGUGAAUCAGUCUGAGGGCAAGUUGCUUUCCGGUUUGCAGAGGCCCAAGUUCAGAGGUCUGAACUGAUGUUAUUUACACCUUCUCCAGUCCCCUUAACAUGCCUCUUACUCUGCCUCUAGAAUUGCUUAUUUGGACUGUUACUACUACCUUACACAUCAGCUCCGUCUCUGGCCCACUGAGUCUACCGUAGCAACUAGUCCAGGGGCACAGUGCUUCUCUGGGACGCCAAAAAUCACAAGUUCAAAUCCCAGGAAGCACCUACAAUGAUGAACCUGUGCGGAUGCAUGUCAGUUUCCCCCACGCUCUAUGACCUCUAGGAUGUCAGUUUAACCGAUGAUAACGGUCCCUUCUGGCUUUAAAAUCGAUGUCAUAGAGAAAACUGGCAGCAAACGCAACCAACAGGAGAGAGUGGGAAGGUGUACCUUAUGGCAGGCCUUCCCCACAUUUAACUCACACCAAUUUCACUUUCCCAAAGCAUUGGUAAGUGGGCGUAGCUAGGUCUAGGGGAGUGUGAACAUGGCAGUCUAAGAUACUCAUCACCCCAACUGAUGCCUGGUGUGCGUUUAAUCAGCCACACUUGUCUCCCCUAUCCCGAGUCACACCUUGUGAACUUGUACGCCUGCUCAGAAAGGAAAAGUUUGUUCUGCCCCAUCGGGCUGGCCAGCUCCAUGGGGAGAAGCCUCUGCAGAGAGGAAACCUAGGAUGCUUCUCACCUUCCUCAUUCCCUCUCUCCACAAGAGGAGGGCCUGCAAGUUUGGGCAAAGAUUUACGGCCCUUCCUCAUAGAGGAGGUCGGGGAGAAAGGACCUUGUCCACAGGGGCUCACAUGAACACGUCCCUGAAUCAAACUAUAUCACAUUCUUUUGGCCACUGAUCACAUGAAUCCCCAGGGGAAAGGGAGGGAUUUGAGUUAUGACAUUCCAACCCCCCCCAAACUAAUCUAUAUUACAGCCUGCCCUGCACCAUGUCCCAACACGGGCCAAAACUGAGAUUCCCAUUCUCUAUCACUUGUGCCAACAGAGAGAUUGGGCAGCGGAAAACACAAAACCCUUCAGGAUUAUGAUACAUG